GACGCGGCCGCCCGGAGCUGAUAAAUAGGGGACCGCGUCGCGGCUGCCGGCCAAGUUGGACGCCCCGACCCGUGCGAGGGCCAGGUCAGCGCCGGCCCCGCGACGCGAAGCCAGGCGACCCGCGUGCGGCGAUGGCCUCGCUGCUGGGAGCCUACCCGUGGCCCGAGGGGCUCGAGUGUCCAGCCCUGGAGGCCGAGCUGUCGGACGGUCUGUCGCCGCCGGCCGUCCCCCGCCCCCCGGGGGACAAGGGCUCGGAGAGCCGCAUCCGGCGGCCCAUGAACGCGUUCAUGGUGUGGGCCAAGGACGAGAGGAAACGGCUGGCGGUGCAGAACCCGGACCUGCACAACGCCGAGCUCAGCAAGAUGCUGGGUGAGCGAGCGGGCGGCCGCGCGGGGGGCGCGGGGCGAGCGGGCGCUGUGUGCCCGCGUGGCUGCGCAUCCGUGCGAGCUGG